rnacentral:misc_RNA from 1 species
GACAAGGUUCAUCUGGAUUUAUAUGGGACGACAAAUACUUAACAGGUGAACUGAUCAAUCACCCAGUCAAACAUAAAGAAGAAACUAACAAAACACGACUAGGAAAACCCAAAGAGGAAUUGAUGCUGCAGGUGAAGACUUCAUCAACAACCAUUGGAUCCACACGGAGGAGAGGAUUCAACGGCGGUGGAGGGGUGAACCCGACAGCAGAGCCACCAUCUCCUAAGGUUUUUGCAUGUGGAUUGUGCAGUGCUAUUAAUGGCAAAAAAGGUAAGUCCCAC